rnacentral:rRNA from 1 species
AGAUAGAAMCCGMCCUGGCUCACGCCGGUUUAAACUCAGAUCAUGUAAAAUUUUAAAGGUCGAACAGACCCAAUUAAUUAAAUUCUGCACCAACAAUUUAUUUUAAUCCAACAUCGAGGUCGCAAACUUUUUAUUCGAUAAGAACUCUAUAAAAAAUUACGCUGUUAUCCCUAAGGUAAUUUAUUCUUUUAAUCUUAAUUUAAGGAUCAUACUUAUCAUAAACUAAUGUACUAAUUAAUAAAUAAAGUUAAUUAAAUUUUCCUGUCUCCCCAACAAAAUGUUUAAAAAAAUUAAAACUAAUCUUAAACCUAAUAUUUAAAACAUUCCUAAACAUUAAACUCUAUAGGGUCUUCUCGUCUUCCAUUAAAAUUUAAGCUUUCUAACUUAAAAAUAAAAUUCUAAUAAAUUUUCAAAGAGACAGAAUCUCCUUCAUCUAACCUUUCAUUCUAGCUUUCAAUAAAAAAACUAAUGAUUAUGCUACCUUAGCACGGUCAAUAUACCGCGGCCAUUAAAAUUAUCAUUGGGCAGGCCAGACCUAAAAUAAAAAUCAAUAAGACAUGUUUUUAAUAAACAGGCG